GAUUAAGUUAUUAAGGGCGCACGGUGGAUGCCUUGGCACUAGAAGCCGAUGAAGGACGUUACUAACGACGAUAUGCUUUGGGGAGCUGUAAGUAAGCUUUGAUCCAGAGAUUUCCGAAUGGGGAAACCCAGCAUGAGUUAUGUCAUGUUAUCGAUAUGUGAAUACAUAGCAUAUCAGAAGGCACACCCGGAGAACUGAAACAUCUUAGUACCCGGAGGAAGAGAAAGAAAAUUCGAUUCCCUUAGUAGCGGCGAGCGAAACGGGAAGAGCCCAAACCAACAAGCUUGCUUGUUGGGGUUGUAGGACACUCUAUACGGAGUUACAAAGGACGACAUUAGACGAAUCAUCUGGAAAGAUGAAUCAAAGAAGGUAAUAAUCCUGUAGUCGAAAAUGUUGUCUCUCUUGAGUGGAUCCUGAGUACGACGGAGCACGUGAAAUUCCGUCGGAAUCUGGGAGGACCAUCUCCUAAGGCUAAAUACUCUCUAGUGACCGAUAGUGAACCAGUACCGUGAGGGAAAGGUGAAAAGCACCCCGGAAGGGGAGUGAAAUAGAACCUGAAACCGUGUGCUUACAAGUAGUCAGAGCCCGUUAAUGGGUGAUGGCGUGCCUUUUGUAGAAUGAACCGGCGAGUUACGAUUUGAUGCAAGGUUAAGCAGUAAAUGUGGAGCCGUAGCGAAAGCGAGUCUGAAUAGGGCGUUUAGUAUUUGGUCGUAGACCCGAAACCAGGUGAUCUACCCUUGGUCAGGUUGAAGUUCAGGUAACACUGAAUGGAGGACCGAACCGACUUACGUUGAAAAGUGAGCGGAUGAACUGAGGGUAGCGGAGAAAUUCCAAUCGAACCUGGAGAUAGCUGGUUCUCUCCGAAAUAGCUUUAGGGCUAGCCUCAAGUAGAUUGAUUAUUGGUAGGUAGAGACACUGUUUGGUACGAGGGGCCCCUCUCGGGUUACCGAAUUCAGACAAACUCCGAAUGCCAAUUAAUUUAACUUGGGAGUCAGAACAUGGGUGAUAAGGUCCGUGUUCGAAAGGGAAACAGCCCAGACCACCAGCUAAGGUCCCAAAAUAUAUGUUAAGUGGAAAAGGAUGUGGCGUUGCCCAGACAACUAGGAUGUUGGCUUAGAAGCAGCCAUCAUUUAAAGAGUGCGUAAUAGCUCACUAGUCGAGUGACACUGCGCCGAAAAUGUACCGGGGCUAAACAUAUUACCGAAGCUGUGGAUUGUCCUUUGGACAAUGGUAGGAGAGCGUUCUAAGGGCGUUGAAGCAUGAUCGUAAGGACAUGUGGAGCGCUUAGAAGUGAGAAUGCCGGUGUGAGUAGCGAAAGACGGGUGAGAAUCCCGUCCACCGAUUGACUAAGGUUUCCAGAGGAAGGCUCGUCCGCUCUGGGUUAGUCGGGUCCUAAGCUGAGGCCGACAGGCGUAGGCGAUGGAUAACAGGUUGAUAUUCCUGUACCACCUAUAAUCGUUUUAAUCGAUGGGGGGACGCAGUAGGAUAGGCGAAGCGUGCGAUUGGAUUGCACGUCUAAGCAGUAAGGCUGAGUAUUAGGCAAAUCCGGUACUCGUUAAGGCUGAGCUGUGAUGGGGAGAAGACAUUGUGUCUUCGAGUCGUUGAUUUCACACUGCCGAGAAAAGCCUCUAGAUAGAAAAUAGGUGCCCGUACCGCAAACCGACACAGGUAGUCAAGAUGAGAAUUCUAAGGUGAGCGAGCGAACUCUCGUUAAGGAACUCGGCAAAAUGACCCCGUAACUUCGGGAGAAGGGGUGCUCUUUAGGGUUAACGCCCAGAAGAGCCGCAGUGAAUAGGCCCAAGCGACUGUUUAUCAAAAACACAGGUCUCUGCUAAACCGUAAGGUGAUGUAUAGGGGCUGACGCCUGCCCGGUGCUGGAAGGUUAAGAGGAGUGGUUAGCUUCUGCGAAGCUACGAAUCGAAGCCCCAGUAAACGGCGGCCGUAACUAUAACGGUCCUAAGGUAGCGAAAUUCCUUGUCGGGUAAGUUCCGACCCGCACGAAAGGCGUAACGAUUUGGGCACUGUCUCAACGAGAGACUCGGUGAAAUCAUAAUACCUGUGAAGAUGCAGGUUACCCGCGACAGGACGGAAAGACCCCGUGGAGCUUUACUGUAGCCUGAUAUUGAAAUUCGGCACAGCUUGUACAGGAUAGGUAGGAGCCUUUGAAACGUGAGCGCUAGCUUACGUGGAGGCGCUGGUGGGAUACUACCCUAGCUGUGUUGGCUUUCUAACCCGCACCACUUAUCGUGGUGGGAGACAGUGUCAGGCGGGCAGUUUGACUGGGGCGGUCGCCUCCUAAAAGGUAACGGAGGCGCUCAAAGGUUCCCUCAGAAUGGUUGGAAAUCAUUCAUAGAGUGUAAAGGCAUAAGGGAGCUUGACUGCGAGACCUACAAGUCGAGCAGGGUCGAAAGACGGACUUAGUGAUCCGGUGGUUCCGCAUGGAAGGGCCCAUCGCUCAACGGAUAAAAGCUACCCCGGGGAUAACAGGCUUAUCUCCCCCAAGAGUUCACAUCGACGGGGAGGUUUGGCACCUCGAUGUCGGCUCAUCGCAUCCUGGGGCUGUAGUCGGUCCCAAGGGUUGGGCUGUUCGCCCAUUAAAGCGGUACGCGAGCUGGGUUCAGAACGUCGUGAGACAGUUCGGUCCCUAUCCGUCGUGGGCGUAGGAAAUUUGAGAGGAGCUGUCCUUAGUACGAGAGGACCGGGAUGGACAUACCUCUGGUGUACCAGUUGUCGUGCCAACGGCAUAGCUGGGUAGCUAUGUGUGGACGGGAUAAGUGCUGAAAGCAUCUAAGCAUGAAGCCCCCCUCAAGAUGAGAUUUCCCAACUUCGGUUAUAAGAUCCCUCAAAGAUGAUGAGGUUAAUAGGUUCGAGGUGGAAGCAUGGUGACAUGUGGAGCUGACGAAUACUAAUCGAUCGAAGACUUAAUCAA
rnacentral:rRNA from 1 species